rnacentral:misc_RNA from 1 species
UGCUUUCUUGGAGAAGGACCCAUCGCCCCCCUGUUGUGGUUGAGAAAACCGACGCACUGUGCGCAAGAUGUUGAGAGCAGAGCAUAAGCAAAGAGAAAAUAAGAGGAAAGAUGAGAAAAGUAAGGUUCUUGAUCGCCAUUGGAGAGUUUCUUGGGGUUAGACAGAUAGAGAGAAGGUUUGAUAUGGUUAAUAGGGAAAGAGGGUUUUAGAGGAUUUCUGUAUUGGAGAUAAA